AGAACUUUAUUGAAACAACAAAAGUACAGUGAUUUACGUAAGGUCUGUAACGGACACAAAAGAUUUAACCUACGUACAAGACUAUCAAUAGACAAACACGCGGACACAUCCGUUUUCAGUAUAAUUCUGCAUAUUAGAAAUGUACUAUUUAGUUGCUAUUUUUAACGUAACUCUGAGUCUUCUGUCUUCUAAGGUUCAGUGCCAUCCUACGAAUAUUCACUAUACGGGAUCAUCGGCGUCUAUGCUAUCUCCAUCCUGUUCUCCAUCCUGCUGAUCCUGGGCGCCGUGAAGAACAACGGCUGCCUGUGCCUUGCUUGGAUCAUCUGGUCCAGCAUCUGUUUGUUCCUGUACAUCGUCCUGGCAGUGGCGCUCUGUUUUUUGGCUUGGGGUGUUGGUUUUGCCGGUAGUCUCGUAGCACAAUCGUCUGCCCUUGGAGCAGCCGCAAUCGGCGCCUAUGGAGUCAUUGCUGUCUACAUCCCGCUCGCCAUCGUCGC